AAAAAGACACAGAGCCCACUCUACUCCUCCUCUCAUCUGCAACCCAUCAUACCCACCACCACUCUACCCAUCCGUCCCGAAAGGAAAGCUCUCCAUAAAUUGCUCCGAUUUACAGUUUGCUGAGCAAUAGUGGGCAUGCCACGCUGCGACCGAAACAAGAAUUCGAGGAGAACAUGGAAAAAAUGCCUUCACUUUUACAAAUGCACUUUAUAUUUAUUCAUCUUUAGUCUGGAACUAAACAGCAGCGUUUCAGAGCCUGUGAAUGGUGAUGUGUUUGUGUUCUUCCACGAGGGGGCUCAGGGCUGUCUAGGGGUGCAGGGUCACUCCCUGUCCCUGUCCGAGUCCUGCGAGGAUGAUGCCCAGAAGUGGAAGUGGGUGACCCGGGGCCGACUCUUCAACCUAGGCUCCUCUCUGUGCCUGGGCCUGACAACAGGCAACUACAGCUCCAGAGAGGACGCCUCAUUGCUGGGCGUCUACCCGUGUGACAGAGAGCCUCCCGGGGUCCGCUGGACAUGGUACUGUUCCCAGGUGUUGGACAACCUCAACCUGUACCUGCCGUCACCCUCACACCCUGUUAACCCCUCCGCUAACUCCUCAGUGGUGGCCUCGGAUGUCAAGCCCCUACGGGAGGGGCUCAAGUGGAGGCUCUUUGGGGACGAUCAGGACCUUUGUUCUAGGAGCUAUCGUGAGAUCUAUACUAUCCAGGGGAACUCUCACGGUCGGCCCUGCUACCUGCCCUUCAUGUACGAUAGCCAGUGGUUCCACAACUGCACCAGUAUUGGCAGAGAGGACGGUCACCUGUGGUGUGCCACCACCUUCGACUAUGGCAAGGACGAACUCUGGGGCUUCUGUCCUGUUAAGAGCAAUGACUGUGAGACGUUCUGGGACACAGACCCCCUGACAGACAGCUGCUACCAGUUCAACUUCCAGGCCACCCUGUCAUGGAGCGAGGCUCGCAUCAGCUGCCAACAGCAGGGGGCUGACCUGCUCAGUGUCACCAAGCUGCAUGAGCAGACCUACAUCAACGGUUUGCUGACUGGUUACAGUGCUGCUCUGUGGAUCGGUCUGAAUGACCUGGACAUCACCGGAGGCUGGCAGUGGGCUGACUCCUCCCCGCUCAAAUACCUCAACUGGGAGAAUGACCAGCCGAGCCAUGUGGAGGAGGUGAACUGUGCGGUGAUCAGAACAGAGUCGUCUGGCCGCUGGCAGAACAGAGACUGCUCUGUAGCCCUUCCCUACGUCUGUAAGAAGAGACCCAAUGCCACCCUGGACCCCUUCACCACCGACUCGUGGGCGGAUGAUGAGAAGUACGAGUGUGAUGUGGGCUGGCAGGCGUUCCAGGCAGGCUGCUACAGACUGACGUCAGAGAAGGUGGACUGGGACGCUGCUCAGAAAACCUGUCAGAAAAUGGAGGCCAACCUGGUCAGCCUCCACACCCUGCCUGAACUAGAGUUCAUCAUCAACAACAUCAAGCGAGAUGUGGAGGAGCUGUGGAUUGGUCUCCAUGACACGGCUAUGCAGAUGGACUUCCAGUGGACAGACCACACGCCCGUCAUCUUCACUUACUGGCAUCCCUUUGAGCCCAACAACUUCCAAAACACCCCCGAGGACUGUGUCACCAUCUGGGGACCCGAAGGCCGCUGGAAUGACAGUCCCUGUAACCAGACCCUGCCGUCCAUCUGUAAGAAAGCAGCCCAGAAGACUGACGGACAGGCACAGGACCACGGGUGCAAACCAGGCUGGAGAUGGCACAGUCCGGCGUGCUACUGGAUGGGAGAGGAGCAGGUGACCUUCGAGGAGGGCAGGAAGGCCUGCGCUGGCAGCGGAGCUACCCUCAUCACCAUCGCCAAUAGGUUUGAGCAGGCAUUUGUCAACAGUCUGGUGUUUGGCCGUUCUGGGGAUUCAUUCUGGAUAGCACUGCUUGACCAGAACAGCCCUGGGAAAUUCCACUGGCUCAGCGGGGAUGAAGUGACCUAUACCAACUGGAACAGAGACCAGCCAGGAGGAAACAUCAAAGGGGGCUGUGUAACCAUGGAGACGGGCUACGCCACAGGCCUAUGGGAGGUGAAGGACUGUGCGUCGGCCCGGGCCAAGUUCAUCUGUAGACUGAACCAGGACACGUCCCUCAGCCCUGAGCCCCCAGCCCCGCACCCCACCCCCAGCCUCACUGGAUCCUGCCCCAACGGGUGGAAGACAAACGACAAGCUGCACCACUGCUACAAGGUGUUUGACAGAGCCCAGAUGGACCAGAAGCUGAGCUGGCUGCAGGCCCACCUAGCCUGUCAGAGACACCAUGGAGCCAACCUGCUGAGUGUCAGUGGCCCAGAGGAGGAGCACUUCAUACUGCAGAUAUUACACGAAGCCUUUGGGGAGUCAGAGGACCAUGAGCAGCACUGGUUCUGGAUCGGGCUGAACCGCAGGAACCCCAUGGACAACGGUAGCUGGAAGUGGAGCGAUGGACUGGCUUAUACGUACCAGAACUUUGGGCGUUACUACUACAAUGUCCGUCAGUGUGCAGCAGCAGACCUGGGCAGCAUGACCUGGCUGGCCAUGCUCUGUGAGGCUAAACUGGACUGGAUCUGCAAGAUCCCCAAAGGAAAAAUUGACAAGGAUCCAAACCCCACUGAAGCCCCCAGUGCCAGUGAGUGGGUGGGCUUCCAGGAGGCAGAGUAUAAGUUCUUUGACCACCGGUCUACGUGGGACCAAGCCCAGAGGAUCUGCUCCUGGUCCGGUGCUUCUCUGGCUUCCAUCCACUCUUCUGCGGAGGAGGUUUUCCUUGCCAACACACUGCACAAGAUGACCAAGGUAGAGGGGGACCACUGGUGGGUGGGGCUUCAUACGUAUGAGAACGAUGGCCGUUUCCACUGGUCAGACCACUCUGUGCUCAACUAUGUGUCCUGGGCACUCGGCAGGCCACACCCACUCAGCCGCGACCGCAAGUGUGUCCACAUGUCAGUCAGCAAAGCGGAGUGGGCAGAUCAGAAAUGCCACUCAGACCUGCCCUACGUCUGUAAGAGAGUGAAUGUCACAGGCACCAUCCCACCCACACCCUCCACCCCCCUGCCCCCCAUGGGCUGCCCCAAUGGCUGGAGCCCCUUCCUGCACAAGUGUUAUAAGGUGUUUGGUCAUGAGGAGAACCAGAAGGCCAUAUGGUCAGGAGCCAGGCUCAUGUGUGAGUUUCAAGGAGGAGCCUUGGCUGUGGUGCCCAAUCACGUGGAGCAAGCCUUUCUCACAACUCUGUUGUCCAAUGUGAGUUUUGACCUGUGGUUGGGGUUGACGUCUGACUCUAAAGGCCACUUCCAGUGGGCUCGUCCUGGACUCCUCAGCUACACCAACUGGGCCUCUGGAGAACCCCUGGACAACAGUGGACCACUCCACAACAAGACUCCGGGGAACUGUGUGGUGAUGAUCCAUGGGAACCCAACAAAAAAUACGGGCAUGUGGGCAUCCCGGGCCUGUAAGAUGGAGAACCAUGGCUACAUCUGCCAGAAGAAACAAGACCCAGCUCUGCCCCCUGGCGCUGCCCUCCUGCCCUCCUCCCUGUCCGGAGCCCUGGACCUGGGUGGGGUGUCGUACCGCAUAGUGAGGAAGCGCCUGGACUGGAUGGGGGCGCUGCAUGUCUGCGAGUCUCUGAACGGGACGUUGGCUUCAGUGAGAGACCCCUACCAACAGGCUUACCUCACCCUGCUGAUGAACAGCCUACACCUCCCAGCAUGGAUAGGCCUUUACAACUAUGGGGGACGGAGCUUCAGCUGGUUGGGCGAGGAGGACCUGAUUUACACUGCCUGGCGGGAUGGGGAGCCUAAUACACUGUCUGGAUGUGGUCACAUGACCACGGUGGGGCAGUGGACUAUGACCCCCUGUGAUGCUAAACUGGACGCUGCCAUCUGUCAGAUUAAUACAGAGGAGGCUGUGGGGCACAAGUGGAGUUUCCCAGGACAGUGCCCUCACUCUCUGGGCGACUGGGCCUGGGUGCCUUUCAGGAACCACUGCUACUCCUUCAACCUGCAGAACCUCCGGCUGCAGACCGAUGCCCACUCCUCCUGCAGGAAGGUGGGUGGCCAGCUGCUGUCGGUCCUGGAUGAAACAGAGAAUGGCUUUGUGUGGGAGCACAUCCAGGGCUACCAGGAGCAGGCCCAUGGAGCCUGGCUGGGUAUGACCUUUAACUCCAAAGGGGGCAGUCUGAUGUGGUCUGAGAGUGCUGAGGUGAAGUUCACUAACUGGGAGGUGCAGGGCACCAACCUGAGCAUGCUGUUUCCCAACACCUGCUUCUGGAUCCAGAGCAACACAGGCCUUUGGAAACCAGGCCCCUGCAAGAACCGCACACACGGAGUCAUCUGCAAACGGCCACGCAGUGCUGAGGCUUUGGCGGCAGUCUCUGAAGAGGACCACCUGCCCACUCUGAUUGUGAUCAUGGUGACGGGUCUGGUGUUGGUGAUCCUCAUCGCGGGCGUGAUCUACCUGUACCGCCGGCGCCAGGCAGGCUCCCGGGGAUCUUACGAGGGGGCGCGCUACAGCCGCACCAACUCCAACCCCUCCGAACAGGCCGAGAAGAACAUCCUGGUGUCUGACAUGGAGCUCAACGAGCAGCCGGAGUAGCACAGCCAACCAGGACUGGCCCCUCCCCCCCCCGGGGCAGGAGACACCUGGGAGUACCUAAUACUGACUGACCCACUGUCUGACUGAUACGCAUUCUGCUUCUACAUUUUAUGUCCCUGUUCUGUUUGAAAAGAUGCUGAAGAUGCUGAAGGUCUGUGCUGUGUCGAGCGCAGCAGAUGCCAAUCAAAUUCCAUUUAAACAGUCAUUCUCCAAUGGGGUUAAUAAUAUGCAAAUUACAAUAUGAACUGCUUUUCUUAGUAGUAUAGCAAUAAUGUUUCUGAUGUCAGUUUCACAUUUCAUUUCAAACACUUCCUGUUUUUGGUCGCUAUGUUUAAAAGGCAGAUGCCAAAAGCCAAAGACUAAGGCUUUGCACCAGUUCUUCCCUCGUCAGGAGACUCAGUAUCAUCCAGAUAUCAACACAGCCUCCAUCGAGACCAUGACAGUAUUUACCUGAGGUUAACUUCAGGGCUCAGGAGGGGCGAAGGUCGAGUCAUGCGUCUUCCGAUACAUGACCCGCCAAACCACACUUUUCAACACCCACCCCGCCAGCUGCACUGUUCAACUGAUGAGUGAAGUCAGCCUGCAGGCGCCUGGCCUGCCACAAGGAGUUGCUAGAGCGCGAUGAGCCAAGUAAAGCAACCCCGGCCGAACCCUCCCCUAACCCGGACAACACUGGGCCAAUUGUGCGCCGCCCUAUGGAACUCCCGGUCACGGACAGUUGUGACACAGCCUGGUAUCACAUCCAGGUCUGUAGUGGCACCUCAAGCACUGCACUGCAGUGCCUUAGAUCGCUGCGCCACUCAGGAGGCCCCUAGACAGUUACUUUAAGCAAAGGACAGUGCAUUCACUCCUUUGUUUAUGCAUUAUUACUAAGAUACUUUUCAAUUGUUUUUGUUUUAUUUCCUUCCUUUGACUUUUGGAUGGGUAACCUGGUGUAAAGUAGGUGAACGUCAGUGUUAGUCUCAUGACUGGUACGGAUGGUUAGAUUUCCCAUGUUAAUGUCUGUGUUUGUUGGUGGUAUGAUUACACACUGACCUGCAGCCAUGUAAAACAUACCCUAUAUAUCCAAAAGUAUGUGGACACAAAUUCAAAUUAGUAGAUUUGGCUAUUUCAGCCACACCCGUUCGUCAGCCACACACUGUUCGUCAGGAGCUUCAUGAAAAUGGGUUUCCGUGGCCGAGCAGCGGCACACAAGCCUAAGAUCACCAUGCUCAAUGCCAAGCAUAGGCUGGAGUGGACUAUUGGACUCUGGAGCAGUGGAAACGCAUUCUCUGGAGUGAUGAAUUACCAUCUGGCAGCCCAACGGAUGAAUCUGGGCUUUGGCGGGUGCCAGCAAAAUACUACCUACUCGAAUGCAUAAUGCCAACUGUAAAGUUUGGUGGAGAAGGACUAAUGGUCUGGGGCUGUUUUUAAUGGUUUGGGCUAGGCCCCUUAGUUCCAGUGAAGGGAAAUCUUAACGCUACAGUAUACAAUUAUAUUCUAGACGAUUCUGUGCUUCCAACUUUGUGGCAACAGCUUGGGGAAGGCCCUUUUCUGUUUCAGCAUGACAAUGCCCCAUGUGCACAAAGCGAGGUCCUGACCUCAACCUCAUCAAACACUUUUGGAAUGAAUUGGAACGCCGACUGCGAGCAACGCCUAAUUACCCAACCUCACUAAUGCUCUUGUGGCUGAAUGGAAGCAAGUCCCCGCAGCAAUGCUCCAACAUCUAGCGGAAAGACUUCACAGAAGAGUGGAGGCUGUUAUAGCAACAAAGGGGGGACCAACUCCAUAUUAAUGCCCAUUAUUUUGGAACGAGAUUUUCGAUUAACAGAUGUCCACAUACUUUUGGUCAUGUUGUGUAACUUAGGUCACCUGUAGGUCAUUCACUUGAAAAGUGACACAUCUGACGUGAGUCAACAUGUACAGUACCAGUCAAAAGUUUGGACACACCUACUCAUUCCAGGGUUUUUCUUUAUUUUUACUAUUUUCUACAUUGUAGAAGAAUAGUGAAGACAUCAAAACUAUGAAAUAACAUACAGUAUUGCAUCUCUGGAUGUUGCAACACACUUUUGUAUGUGGUAUAUUCCACAAGGUACUGGAGAACCUUACUUAAGGGGUUACCCUCUAUAUCAAUGCAAAAUACAGCUAGGAAAACCAAAGAACUAGUUUGAAAAGGGAAAGGAUCCACCCCAUUAUUCAAAUAUGUAGAAAUAGAAAGAUCAACUCAUCCAUCUUAUUUCCCCUUGUCGUGUCUUAACCUUGUGUAGUACGUUAUUGGGAGGAGGAAAGUACGGUUUCUAACAGGUCACAACUAGAUUCAAUGCAGGGAAUCAACCAAAACCCUAACCUCUGGGUUCCCGUUUGAAUAGGAGGCAAAGACAGAUGUUUUCUUCCCCCUCAUAACAUUCCUCCUACAGUUCGCUCCUUCUCAUGACCGGAUUUCUGUCCUGCUCCGUGGAAUGCUUUGGAGAAGUUUUAGAUAGAAACUCUUGGUGAGCCAGUGAGCCACGCUUCAAAACCAGCUCUUUUCUGCUCUGUAAACCGGACGAAUGGGGCUGAGGAGAGAGAGGGGGAGGGAGGAUGGAAGGAGACGGAGGAGUGAGGGGGAUUGUGUGUGUGUUAUCGUCUCCAACUGUGGAAUGUUGAGUCGGCAAGAAGAGCUCAGUGGCAAGUCUGGAACCGAUCAGAGCAGAAGAGCUCAGGGCCGAAAGAGAAGGGUGAGAAAAUUGGAGAAAAGGGGUAAAAUAAUGGAGGGAGAGGGAGACUGACAGGCAGGCACGUAUGUGGGAAGAAUGGGGCAGGGAGGGAGGAAUGGAGAUGAGAGAAGAGAAGUGAAAUGUCCUAGGUUCACCCUGCCUCCUAGUGGAGGGUUGCUGUAGCACCCUGCUUCAAAAUGACUGCCGAACUGGUUGUAAUGAAUUUGAGCUGACUACAAGUUGGAGUUGCCUACAAAGUGAUGAUGUGAGUCUGGCCCUGAUGUCCUACCGUAUCUGGGACUGACUAUGUGACUGUGGUGGGCUUUUUACAUUUGAGUCCCUGUGAAGAAAGGUUCAAAUAAGCACCUGUUUUGAUUUUUUAAAUAUUGGUUGUUUUCAUAUGAAAUGAAUAAAAUAUAUGUUGGCUAAA